rnacentral:rRNA from 1 species
UACGUAGGGUGCAGGCGUUAAUCGGAAUUACUGGGCGUAAAGCGUGCGCAGGCGGUUUGCUAAGGGAGAUGGGAAAUCCCCGGGCUUAACCUGGGAACUGCGUUUCUAACUGGCAGGCUUGAGUGUGGCAGAGGGGGGUGGAAUUCCACGUGUAGCAGUGAAAUGCGUAGAGAUGUGGAGGAACACCGAUGGCGAAGGCAGCCCCCUGGGCUAACACUGACGCUCAUGCACGAAAGCGUGGGGAGCAAACAGG